ensembl:lncRNA
CUCCCAGGCCGUCUACGGCCAUACCACCCUGAACGCGCCCGAUCUCGUCUGAUCUCGGAAGCUAAGCAGGGUCGGGCCUGGUUAGUACUUGGAUGGGAGACCGCCUGGGAAUACCGGGUGCUGUAGGCUUUUGCCUCCCGCCGCCUCCCUCUCCUUUUGCGCCCCCCCCCCCCCCGGCCCCAGCGCCGCUCCCUCCACGCUCCUCCCGCCCCUCCUCCCUCCUCACCGGUCGCCCCAUCGCCCCGCCACGCCCCCACCGCUGUCCAGCCGCGCGAGUGCCCCGCGGCCGCGGCCACCGCCGCCGCCGCCGCCGCCGCCGCCCAGCCCUUCCACCUCGCGGCCCCACGGGAACCCAGGGCCAACCGGGGCCGGCCCCGCGUGGCCGUGCCCCCGACGCCGCCCUCGUCCGGCGGGCUCCCUCUGUCCUCGGCGGCCUCUUCCCACCCGCCAGGCUCCUGAGAGACCCUAGCGGUCCACUCGGCCGGCGCGGCACCCAAGCAGUUGGUCGAGUCGUGGUGUGCGAUGGAACGGAUCCCGCUCCGGGCUGCGGAGGCCCGGACAGCUUCAGCAAGCUGCCAGCAGCCCCUCCGUCUUCCAGAGCCCAUCUAGGAAAGACCCCGGGUCAGGCCUCUCCAAACAGCACCUACAGAAGGACGGGGCCCACUGGGCUCGAGAGGAACCUUCGGGGCCUGGCCAUCCAUCCCAAGCGGGACGGCUUCUGGAUUUUCUGAUGCCUGCGCCGUGUGUCAGCUUCUCCAAGUCGGUACCUGGCUGUCCUUGAUACCGUCGUUCGCGAGAAACCCUCGUUUCCGCACUGGAGUUGAAGCAGCACAGAGGAAAAGAUUCAGAAACUAAGGAUAAAGAUGCAGGAAGAUCGCGAUGGAGAGGAAUGAAAUUGAGGAGCUCUAAUGGAUGGUAUUUCUCUUCUUAGGAAGUCAUGACACCCUGCAAAAUAGCUCAAAGAGAGUUGACUGAAGAAAUGGAAACGUCAGUGAUGAAGGAUGCAAGAAACAGGACAGCAGUCCAGUAAUUCACCCUGGAGGGGUUUGCAGCUGUCCAGCAUCAUAGGAAGGUUUUCUUCCUGGUGCAUCUGCUGGAGUACCUGGCCUCCAUCAUGGGAAACAUACUCAUAAUCACCAUCACCUGGGCUGACCAUCACCUCCAGACACCUAUGUACUUCUUCCUCAGCAGUUUCUCCUUUGUUGAAUGCUGCUUAUAACCACUGUUAUUCCUAAGUUGCUGGCUAUCUUUCUGUCAUGGAGGAAAUCAACUAAAAACAUGGAAAAAUCUAUACCAGGGCACAUACUAAUCAAAUUGCUCAAAACCAGUGAUAAAGAGAAAUCUUCAAAGCAGCCAGAAGAAAAAAAGACACAUUUCAUACAGAGGAACAAAGAUAAAGAUACCAAAGAUUUCUCUUUGAAAAUAACUAAGUGAGAACUCAAUGACACAAUUUUUAAAGGACUGUGAAUAAAAAUUUGCCAACCCAGAAUUUAGUCAUGAAAAUAUCUUUCAAAAGUGAAGGCAUACAAAAGAUAAAAGAAUUAAUCACCAGCAAAUCUACAGAAUGAUAAUUGGUAAAGGCAGUCCUCCAAGAGAAAGAAAAUUAUACCAGAUAGAAAUAUGGAUCUAUGCAAAGGAAUGAAGAACACCAGAAAUAGUAACCAUGGGGUAGGAACAUAGGGUAUUUUUAAAUAAUUUAAAUUUCUUUGAAAGAUCAUUGACUCUGUCAACAAAAAUAGUAACAAUGCACUGUGGGGUUUAUAACGUAUGUAUAAGGAAAAUGUAUGAAAAGAAUAGCAUAAAGUCUGAGGGAGUAGAAAUGGAAGUAUGUUAUUACAAGUUGCUUAUAUGAUAUGUGAAGUGGUAAAAUAUCACUUGAAGGUAGACAAUGAUAAUUUAAAGAUGUAUACUAUAAAUCCAAGGCAACCACUGAAAUAAAAAUCAGAGUUGUAGCUAAGGAGCCAACAAAGGAGAUAAAAUGGAAUCAUCACAAUGGGGCAGCAGGAAACUUUUGGGCUGGUGAAUAUUUUCAUUAUAAUCAUUGUGGUGGUGAUUUUACAACUGUUUAAAUGUGUCAAAACUUAUCAAAUUGUACUCUUGAAAUAUGUCCAUUUUAUUUUGUAUCAAUGAUACCUUAAUAAAGCUGUUUCAAAGACAAUAAAGCAGAUUGCAAUGGAAUAUUAAAAAUGCUUCAUUAAUUCAAAAAAAGAAAGGAGAAAAUAAGGAAUAUAUAAUGGUGGGGACAAAUAGAAGGAAACAUCAAAAUUGUAGAGUUAAAUCUAACUUUACAAUAAUGAGAUUAAAUGUAAAUAGACUAAGCACUUGAAUGAAAAGAGAGAGAGAGAUUACUACAUUAGGUAAAAAGGAAGACCUUACUAUGACUUGGUUACAGGAAUAACAUUUAAAUACACAAACGGAGUAGAAAUUUCAAACAAACAUCAAGCUUGUUUGACUAUAGUAGUAUAUAAAAAAAUAGACUUCGCAGUCAAGUGUAUUUUCAGAGAUAAAAAGGCAAAUUUAUAGUGAUAAAUGAAUGAAAUCACCAAGAAGACAUAGUAAUUCUACAUAUACACGCACACAAUGAUAGACAAUCAGAUGUGGUUAGUGAAAACACAAACUGGGGUCCUACUUCCCAUUAUUUUAAGUGGGAAAACUAUAAUCAGUACUCAAUCUAGUCCCACCUCCAACUAGUUUUCUAAACCACAGUAAAAAUGUCUCUGUAUAAAUAAUAAGCAUCAUGUUAGGGUACAAAAUGCUUAAAACUUUGCUACAUGAUUUCCAAAAAACUAAUGUCAUUCUUGGCAAACUGUUGCUUCUCUGCACUAACGUGACCUUUAAGAAAGAAAAUCCAAGAAACACUACCACUCUGUUGACAUUCUGUGGCUUUUCAAACAUUUAUCUUCGUAUUUUAAUUUGAGUCUUUUCUCGCGUAUAAUUUUGUUUUAAUGUUGUAUUGAGCUUUGGAGUUGAAAAUAUUAAUAUUUCCCACAUAAACAUUAUUUAGCAAUUUUUACUAAGAGAUAUGUUCUCUGAAGUUUAAGUACUAACGCUAUGGGUUUUUCUACUGGUGAAAAGUUCUGCAAGAUGUGCCUAUAAAUGAUGAACUUGGUUUAAUAGUACAUGUCCACAUACCAGGACACCACAAACCCUUUAUGUGUUAGAUUGUGCCUUCUGUCAAUUGUUAGCUUCAUAUUCUUUCUAGGUUAGGUUUUUAUCUAUCAGAGAAGGCUUUAAUGACAUUCAACAAACAACAUUGAAGAUGUCCAGAAAAACAUGGAGAAAAAUUCAAAUUUCUAUGGAGACUAAUGAGAUGCAACCAUGAAGACUUUCUAUACAUGGGAAUUCUUUACAAAGAGCAAAAAAUAGUUUCCUUGCAUGUACCUGUGGCCCAUAUUAAAGAAUGAAGAAGACAUCAAUAAUUUUUAAAUAAGAUAUAGAGUUUACAUUCUCCAUUCAAAAUGUACAAAAACUAGAAAUUAGUAACAGUUUUAUAAACAAUAAUUGCUUGGCAAUUAAAAAAUCUUCCUAUACAACUUCAGCGAAAGAGAUAUUGAAAUUACCACUAUAGAAAAAUCACACACUUUAAUCUUCUGGGAUUUAACCACCUGGGAUUUCUAAUUGUCCCUCUCCUUUGGUUUUAUCCUUUAUUUGCUUUUUUUUUCCUACUACUGAAAAAUUCUCCUCCUGCACAUGGUAUUUGAUAUCACUUACAGCAUCUGCCUAUGCCUUCAGCUCAUCUUUUCUAUUUCUUCUCCAUCUCACCUUCACCUGUAAGCAUAUGAAAGUAUGCUGCAUGAUUUUAUAACUCCAUGCUUUACAAAUGCUGUUGACCAACCUGAAAUCCCUUCCAUUUUCAUUGUCCAAAUGGAAAAUUCCUGUGUCUUCCAAAAUCACCUCUUUUAUACAGUCUCAAAAAUAAAGAACUCAUACAACUCAACAACAAAAAACCAAACAGUCCGAUUAAAAAAUGGGCAGAGGAACUGAAUAGACAUUUUUCCAAAGAAGACAUACAAUUGGCCAACAAGUGCAUGAAAAGAUGAAAAUCAUUAAUAAAAAUGCAAAAAUCACUAAGGGGAAUGUAAAUCAAAACCACAACGAGAUAUCAUCUCACACUUCUUUGGAUGGCUAUGAUCAAAAGAACAAAGGACAAGAAGUGUUGUCAAGGAUGUAGAGAAAAGGGAACCCUGUACACUGUUAAUGAGAAUGUAAAUUGGUGCAUCAACUGUGGAAAACAGUAUAGAGUUUCCUCAAAAGAUUAACAGUAGAAUUUACAUUUGAUCCAGCAACCACAUUUUUGAGUAUUUAGGGAAAGGAAUUGAAAUAUGGACAUCAAAGAGAUAUUUUCAGUCCCAUGCUUGUUGCAGCAUUAUUCACAAUAGCCAAGAAAUGGAAAGAACCUCAAUGUUCAUUCACAGAAGCAUUCAUAAAGAAAACCUAGUAUAUACAUAUAAUGGAAUAUUAUUCAACUUUAAAAAAGAAGGAAAUGUUGCCAUUUGUGAAAGCGUGGAUGUCCCUGGAGGGCAUCAUUCUUAGUAAAAUAAGCCUGACAUGGAAAGGCAAACAUUCCGUGAUCUCACUUAUGUGUUGGAAUCUAAUUAAACAUAUAGAAGAAGAGAGUAGAAAGGUAGUUGUCAGGGGCUGGGUAGGGAGUAGAAUAAGGAAGUGUUGAUCAAGGGUACAAACUUUCAGUCAUAUAAAAUAAGAUCUGGAGAUCUGUACAAUACAGGGCCUAUGAUUAUCAAUAUUCUAUUGUCUACUUAAAAAUUUUCUAAAAGGGUAGAGCUUACAAGUGCUCUUACCGUAUAAGAAAAAAAACCCAAACAAACAACAGAGGG